rnacentral:misc_RNA from 1 species
UUUUGGACUAACUCUUCAUGGCGGGCUCCCUGCGCUUUGGUGUGGCCAACCGUCAUGGGGUUGUCUUUUCACUAUCCCUAUCAUCAAAUACAUAUUUGUUGGUUUGGGUUGCUUUUGUUGGUUGCUUGCAUUGUUCUACCCAUGUCGGUAGCAAUAGAUGGACCCUAUCUUAUAUUAUGGCUCUCCCUGUUGAUAAUGUUUUGUCUGCAGGGCAGUUGAGGUGUUGACAAAAAUUUCUUUUGUUGCAAUGGUUGAAUAUUAUUAGCCAAGGCAUCACAUUGGAAUGUUUGUCGGAUCUCACGGAUGUUGUGCAUACAUUGUGAGCUCUGUUGGUUCAUUGAUCCUCAGGCUUGCUGAUGGCCCCAUGUAUAAUUUCUUUUGCGCUCAAUUAAAGUGUUUUGCUUGUAUUGAUGCGUGCUAGAAAAUGUGCAUUGGAAUGGCCAUCUCAUUUGAAUCACAUGUGAUUGCUGAUUCAUGUUGUUAGAUGUGCCUUCUUUGCUUAGGUUGGUGCUUCUUGUAGCAUGAAUGGGCUUUCGCUUAAGAUGUGC